CCUACGGGGGGCAGCAGUAGGGAAUCUUCCACAAUGGGCGCAAGCCUGAUGGAGCAACACCGCGUGAGUGAAGAAGGGUUUCGGCUCGUAAAGCUCUGUUGUUGGAGAAGAACGUGCGUGAGAGUAACUGUUCACGCAGUGACGGUAUCCAACCAGAAAGUCACGGCUAACUACGUGCCAGCAACCGCGGUAAUACGUAGGUGGCAAGCGUUAUCCGGAUUUAUUGGGCGUAAAGCGAGCGCAGGCGGUUGCGUAGGUCUGAUGUGAAAGACUUCGGCUUAACCGAAGAAGUGCAUCGGAAACCGGGCAACUUGAGUGCAGAAGAGGAAAGUGGAACUCCAUGUGUAGCGGUGGAAUGCGUAGAUAUAUGGAAGAACACCAGUGGCGAAGGCGGCUGUCUGGUCUGCAACUGACGCUGAGGCUCGAAAGCAUGGGUAGCGAACAGGAUUAGAUACCCUAGUAGUC
rnacentral:rRNA from 1 species